rnacentral:rRNA from 1 species
CCCUUAGGUGUUCUGGGCCGCACGCGCGCUACACUGAUGCAUUCAACGAGUUUUACCUUGGCCGAGAGGCCUGGGCAAUCUUUUAAACCUGCAUCGUGAUAGGGAUAGAUUAUUGCAAUUAUUAAUCUUGAACGAGGAAUUCCUAGUAAACGCAAAUCAUCAAUUUGCAUUGAUUACGUCCCUGCCCUUUGUACACACCGCCCGUCGCACCUACCGAUUGAAUGGUCCGGUGAAGCCUCGGGAUUGUGGCCAGUUCACUUUAUUGGGAGUUGGCUGCGAGAACUUGUCUAAACCUUAUCAUUUAGAGGAAGGUGAAGUCGUAACA